rnacentral:tRNA from 1 species
GGUCCGUUUAUUUCUGAGUCUUCCAUUGCGGUGAGCAGGUCGACCCACUCAUUGCACUGCCGGGACAUCUCCUCG